GUCACUCACAUCACGUGCUAAGCUAACAAUUACUGGCAUGACGCUAAUCGUUAGUUAGCUGGUUAGCUAGGUUAAGUAUGUGACUAGGUUCUGCUAGUUUAUGCUAAAAACACCUAGAGAGUCUUCUACCUGUAACCUACUGGUCAGAGGUCACAUAAACUGGUCAGAGGUCACAUAAACUGGGCAGAGGUCACAUAAAGUGGGCAGAGGUCACAUAAACUGGGCAGAGGUCACAUAAACUGGUCAGAGGUCACAUAAAGUGGGCAGAGGUCACAUAAACUGGUCAGAGGUCACAUAAACUGGUCAGAGGUCACAUAAACUGGGCAGAGGUACCUGAGCUAGCGAUACAGCAGCUCAACACAAAUAUUGAUCAGGUGAAUGUUCAGGUGUGUUUUCACCUUCGAGCCGCACCAGUCGCAGUAUCUGGCAUCACCGCGGUUCAAACGUUUACAUCUGGAGCAGGACAACUUCCUGCCGUCCGCUGGCGGGACAGAGGGGGCGCUGUUCCCCACACACACCUUCUGAAGCAACACACACACACACACACACACCUUAAUAUACAGGGGUGUGUGUGUGUGUGUGUGUGUGUGUGUGUGUGUGUGUGUGUGUGUGUGUGUGUGUGUGUGUGUGUGUGUGUGUGUGUGUGUGUGUGUGUGUGUGUGUGUGUGUGUGUGUGUGUGUGUGUGUGUGUGUGUGUGUGGGUGUGUGUGUGUGUGUGUGUGUGUGUGUGUGUGUGUGUGUGUGUGUGUGUGUGUGUGUGUGUGUG